CUAGUACUCCCUCCGUCCGAAAAUACUUGUCAUCAAAAUGAAUAAAAAGGGAUGUAUCUAGAUAUAUUUUAGUUCUAGAUACAUCCCUUUUGUCUAUUUUGAUGACAAGUAUUUUCGGACGGAGGGAGUAUUUG
rnacentral:pre_miRNA from 1 species